CAGGGUAAUGUUUAUAUGUACUACAAAUUGUAUGGCUUCUAUCAGAAUCUCUAUCGUUAUAUUCUAUCCAGAAGUAAUAGCCAACUGGUGGGUAUAGACUUAAAGGAUGUUGGAAACUGUGCUCCAUUUAGCAAGUCCCACGAUGGGACUCCCAUCGCUCCUUGUGGUGCUAUUGCCAACAGCAUAUUCAAUGAUACCAUUAUUCUUUCAUACAACCUUAAUUCAUCUAUACCUAUCAAAGUUCCAAUGCUAAGAAGUGGAAUUACGUGGUGGACAGAUAAGUAUGUCAAGUUUCAGAAUCCAAGUUACAUUAAUCUUUCUAGCGCAUUUGCAG